rnacentral:rRNA from 1 species
CCUACGGGCGGCAGCAGUGAGGAAUAUUGGUCAAUGGACGAGAGUCUGAACCAGCCAAGUAGCGUGAAGGAUGACUGCCCUAUGGGUUGUAAACUUCUUUUAUAUGGGAAUAAAAUGUUCCACGUGUGGGAUUUUGUAUGUACCAUAUGAAUAAGGAUCGGCUAACUCCGUGCCAGCAGCCGCGGUAAUACGGAGGAUCCGAGCGUUAUCCGGAUUUAUUGGGUUUAAAGGGAGCGUAGGUGGAUUGUUAAGUCAGUUGUGAAAGUUUGCGGCUCAACCGUAAAAUUGCAGUUGAAACUGGCAGUCUUGAGUACAGUAGAGGUGGGCGGAAUGCGUGGUGUAGCGGUGAAAUGCUUAGAUAUCACGAAGAACUCCGAUUGCGAAGGCAGCUUACUGGACUGCAACUGACACUGAGGCUCGAAAGUGUGGGUAUCAAACAGGAGUAGAUACCCUUGUAGUC